rnacentral:rRNA from 1 species
GAUGAACGCUAGCUACAGGCUUAACACAUGCAAGUCGAGGGGCAGCAUGGUCUUAGCUUGCUAAGGCCGAUGGCGACCGGCGCACGGGUGAGUAACACGUAUCCAACCUGCCGUCUACUCUUGGACAGCCUUCUGAAAGGAAGAUUAAUACAAGAUGGCAUCAUGAGUCCGCAUGUUCACAUGAUUAAAGGUAUUCCGGUAGACGAUGGGGAUGCGUUCCAUUAGAUAGUAGGCGGGGUAACGGCCCACCUAGUCUUCGAUGGAUAGGGGUUCUGAGAGGAAGGUCCCCCACAUUGGAACUGAGAAACGGUCCAAACUCCUACGGGAGGCAGCAGUGAGGAAUAUUGGUCAAUGGGCGCAGGCCUGAACCAGCCAAGUAGCGUGAAGGAUGACUGCCCUAUGGGUUGUAAACUUCUUUUAUAAAGGAAUAAAGUCGGGUAUGUAUACCCGUUUGCAUGUACUUUAUGAAUAAGGAUCGGCUAACUCCGUG